UCCCGGGAGCUGAGGAUGGGAGGACAGACGGUUCUCCCUCAUGACCACAGACCUCCUGCUCUUCAGAAACAUGAGCUUCACCUCCGUCCUCGUCUGGACUCUGCUCUGCCGCUGCUUCACAGAGUCCAGGGGACAAGUCACAGUGACCCAGCCUGGAGCAGUGAGCUCCGCUGUGGGAGGCUCCGUCACCAUCUCCUGUAGAACCAGUGAGACUGUUUGGAGUUCAAACCGUUUGGACUGGUACCAGCAGAGAGUUGGAGAAGCUCCCAAACUGAUGAUUCACACGACUUCCACUCGAGCUUCAGGGAUUCCAGGUCGUUUUUCAGGCAGUGGCAGUGGCACCUCCUUCACUCUGACCAUCAGUGGAGUCCAGGCUGAAGAUGCUGCAGUUUACCACUGCAUCGGGGAGUUUGAUGCCAGCAAGUGGGAUUGGUUCACACAGUGAAAAACCACCGUACAAAAACCUUGUGAACAGAAACUGAAGUGACUGCUGCAGCUGGACGCUUCACACUUCACUGAAGACACACACACACACACACACACAUGGAGGGGGGGGGGGGGGGGGGUAGAGAACAAGUCAAACUAAAGCUGAGAGUUGGGAUGAAACCGCUCGUCAGUGUUUCACUUCCCUCUCUGAGCUCUGAACCGUGGCAACAGACGGGUUUCAGUGCAGAAGAUAAAAAGUAAGAAAAGUGAGAAAAUCUUUACUGGUACAAGCUGCCUCGGAGAAGUUAAAUACUUAUAUAGUUUUCAUUUCAAGAGAAACACCCCAAAAAUAUGGACGUUUAUGUAUAUAUAU